GCCCUGACCCGCUGCCCGACGAGGAGUUAGUACCCGGCCAUGCGGAGGCGGGUAACCGCGGUGUGGUGAAGUAACCGCUCGGGUCGUCAUACCGCCGUGGAGGCAUGUGGCUGCUCGGUUUGGUCCUCUGAGGCUGUGAUUGGCUGCUGCUGAGGAUUGUCCAGAAGUUCAUUUGCAGCAUUGUUUCCAUGGCAACUAACAAGAAAACCAAACCAGAUGGACCAACAGGAAGUUCUGACCACAAAAUAUCUCAGUAUUUAC